AGUGGGAUAGCUGGGUCAAAUGAUGGUUUCAUUUUACGUUUUCUGAGGAGUCUCUAUACUGCUUUCCAUAAUGAUUCCACCAAUUUGCCAUCCCACCAGCAAU
rnacentral:pre_miRNA from 1 species